UCCUACAGUAGUCAAUUCUAAUCAUCGAACAACUCCAUCACGUGUCCAACCUCCAGGGCCUAACCAUCAUUCAAUUCACCCAAUGCAAACCAGAUCCAAAUCUGGCAUUGUAAAAAAGAAAGCUCUUCAGUGUGAUGUCUCUUCCACCAUAGAAACUGAACCUAACUCGGCCAACCAAGCUUUGAAGUCUCCUCACUGGCGGCAAGCUAUGCUUGAAGAGUAUCAUGCUUUGCUCAAAAACAAUACCUGGUCUCUUGUGCCACCUUCCUCCCGCAUGAACAUUAGUGGGAAUAAAUGGGUUUAUAAAAUCAAGCGUCAUCCAGAUGGGUCCAUACACAGAUAUAAAGCACGCUUGGUAGCAAAAGGUUUUCAUCAGACACCGGGUGUUGAUUUUAAAGAGAUUUUUAGUCCUGUUAUAAAGCCCUCCACCAUUAGAAUUAUUUUAUCUUUGGCUGUUUCAAAGGGUUGGGAGGUCAGACAACUUGAUAUCAACAACGCAUUUCUUAAAGGAAAGCUUCAAUAAGCUGUGUUCAUUACUCAACCAGAAGGAUUUGAAGAUGGCAAGCAUCCUCAAUAUGUAUGUCGUUUACAUAAAUCCUUAUGUGGCUUGAAACAGGCUCCCUGAGCUUGGUUCACUCACUUGCGCCAAACUCUACUCUCAUGGGGCUUUCUCAAUUUUAAAUUGGACACCUCGUUAUUCAUGCUACACACAUCACAUGGCUUCUUAUGGGUACUCAUAUAUGUUGAUGACAUCCUCAUCACUGGGCUGAAUCAACUCAUGAUAAACAGGUUCAUCGGGAUUUUUCUGGCGUGCAUCUCUUCCAAACGGGUUACAUCACUGAUCUAUGACAUUAUUUAAAAAUGGAGAAUUGUAAUCCGAGCCACACUCCUGCUAGCUCGACCGUUCAGCUUAGUCAGUCUGUUGGUGCUCCUUUUCCUGAUGUCACCUUGUAUCACAGCACGAUUGGCACCCUUCAGUAUUUAACCAAUACUCGACCUGAUAUUUCUUUCAUUGUCAAUAAGUUAAGUUAGUUUAUGCAGCAACCUAGUGACGUCCAUUGGUCUGCUUGCAAACGGCUUAUUCGUUAUCUGAAGGGUACAAUGCAUCUUGGACUUCAAAUCCGACCAUCCACACAUCAUACUUUGUUUGGUUCUACUGAUGUUGAUUGGGCGUUGAAUAUUGAUGACCGAAAGUCCACUGGUGCUUACUGCAUUUUCUUGGGUGAUAAUCUCAUCUCCUGGUCUUUGAAGAAGCAAACGGCUGUCGCAUGACCUAGUACCGAGUCUGAAUACCGGGCCCUUUCAAAUGGUGGAGCCGAACUUGCAUGGAUUCAGCACCUUUUAGAUGAAUUACAUGUCCAUUUGCCUGCUGUUCCCAUCCUAUGGUGUGAUAAUAUAGGCACUGGCUAUCUUGCUUCCAAUCCCGUUUCACAUGCUCGGACAAAACACAUUGAAAUUGCUAUUCAUUUUGUUCGUGAUCGUGUUCUUCAAAACAAGCUUGCAGUUCGCUAUGUCCCCUCUUCGGACCAAAUAGCAGAUGUCUUAACAAGGUUCUAGCUACUGCUCGUGUUCUACAGCUUCGGGCCAAGCUCAACCUAAGCCAGCCCCGGUUUCGCUUGCGGAGGGAUAUUAGUGCAGAUAAACAAUCCCAAUCUCAUGUACAUAUCUUAUUAUCCUAGCUGUAUCCUUAUCUCAUGUAAAUAUUUUAUUUACUUAGUUAUCAGGUUGUUAGUUCAAAGUCAUCAGUCCUCAUCCAUCAUUAACUUUGCUGUAUAUAUAAGCUUGUUGUAUUAAAUAUUUUCAAGAUGAAA